rnacentral:rRNA from 1 species
UACGUAGGGCGCAAGCGUUGUCCGGAAUCAUUGGGCGUAAAGAGCUCGUAGGCGGCCUGUUGCGUCCGCUGUGAAAUCCCGGGGCUUAACCCCGGGCGUGCAGUGGAUACGGGCUGGCUGGAGGCAGGCAGGGGAGAACGGAAUUCCCGGUGUAGCAGUGAAAUGCGUAGAGAUCGGGAGGAACACCAGUGGCGAAGGCGGCCUUCUGGACCAAUACUGACGCUCAUGCACGAAAGCGUGGGGAGCAAACAGG